rnacentral:tRNA from 1 species
UGUGGCUCAGUGGUAGAGCACCUACCUUGCAAGUGCUAGGUUCUGAGUCCAAAUCUCAGUA